AGUCGAACGCUUUGUCUUUAAUUGAUCUGACGAGCUUGCUCUGAUUUGAUUUUAUCUGACAAAGAGUGGCGAACGGGUGAGUAACACGUGGGUAACCUACCUCUUAGCAGGGGAUAACAUUUGGAAACAAGUGCUAAUACCGUAUAAUACCAACAACCGCAUGGUUGUUGGUUGAAAGAUGGUUCUGCUAUCACUAAGAGAUGGACCCGCGGUGCAUUAGCUAGUUGGUAAGGUAACGGCUUACCAAGGCAAUGAUGCAUAGCCGAGUUGAGAGACUGAUCGGCCACAAUGGGACUGAGACACGGCCCAUACUCCUACGGGAGGCAGCAGUAGGGAAUCUUCCACAAUGGGCGCAAGCCUGAUGGAGCAACGCCGCGUGUGUGAUGAAGGGUUUCGGCUCGUAAAACACUGUUAUAAGAGAAGAACGGCACUGAGAGUAACUGUUCAGUGUGUGACGGUAUCUUACCAGAAAGGAACGGCUAAAUACGUGCCAGCAGCCGCGGUAAUACGUAUGUUCCAAGCGUUAUCCGGAUUUAUUGGGCGUAAAGCGAGCGCAGACGGUUAUUUAAGUCUGAAGUGAAAGCCCUCAGCUCAACUGAGGAAUGGCUUUGGAAACUGGAUGACUUGAGUGCAGUAGAGGAAAGUGGAACUCCAUGUGUAGCGGUGAAAUGCGUAGAUAUAUGGAAGAACACCAGUGGCGAAGGCGGCUUUCUGGACUGUAACUGACGUUGAGGCUCGAAAGUGUGGGUAGCAAACAGGAUUAGAUACCCUGGUAGUCCACACCGUAAACGAUGAG
rnacentral:rRNA from 1 species